rnacentral:rRNA from 1 species
GCCCAAAAUUAAGCCUAAUUAACCCUUAUGCCACACACCUCACAACAAAUUUAAAUAAAACAUUCUACCAGUUUAGUAAAGGCGAUUAAAAAACUUAUUAGCGCUUUAUUGUAAGUACCGCAAGGGAAAAAUGAAAUAGUUUUGAAAUAGUCUUUAAGCAAUAUACAGCAGAGAUUACUUCUCGUACCUUUUGCAUCAUGGUUUAGCUAGUCCCCAUCAAGCAAAUCGAAACAUCAGUUUGACCCCCCGAAACUAAGCGAGCUACUUUAAAACAGCUCAAUGGAGCCAACCCAUCUCUGUUGCAAAAGAGUGGGAUGAUUUUUAAGUAGAGGUGAAAAGCCUAACGAGCCUAGAGAUAGCUGGUUAUUCAGGAAAAGAAUUUUAGUUCGACCUUAAGUUUUAUUUUUACUUAUAAAAUACACCCAAACUUAAGAGCUAUUCAAAUAAGGCACAGCUUAUUUGAAAAAGGACACAACCUAUAAAAAUGGGUAAAACACCUUAUUGAAACCAAGUGGGCCUGAAAGCAGCCAUCUUUAAGAAAGCGUUAAAGCUCCCCUUCCUUCCCCUCAACAAUUCCCCCAAAUCUAUUAAACCCUUUAUCACUACUGAAUGAUUCUAUAACCUAUAGAAAUCCUGAUACUAAAACUAGUAACAAGAAAUUGCAUUUCUCCAAAAUAUAAGUAUAAGCCUAAAUGGACACGCCACCGGCAGUUAACGUCAAUAAAGCCACUUUAGUAACCUUGCAAGAAAAACCUAAACAUGCAUAAACGUUAACCUUACACAAGUAUAUUUCGGGAAAGAUUAAAAGAAAUGGAAGGAACUCGGCAAAUAUUAACCCCGCCUGUUUACCAAAAACAUCGCCUCUUGAUGAACUAUAAGAGGUCCAGCCUGCCCAGUGACAUAGUUAAACGGCCGCGGUACACUGACCGUGCAAAGGUAGCAUAAUCACUUGUUCUUUAAAUAAGGACUUGUAUCAACGGCAUCACGAGGGUUCUACUGUCUCCCCUUUCUAAUCAGUGAAACUGACUUCCCCGUGAAGAGGCGGGGAUGUGACUACAAGACGAGAAGACCCCAUGGAGCUUUAAACCCACUUACAACCUCUAUCUAAAUAUUACCACAUAAAUGAAAAGUACUGUACAGUGGUUUUAGGUUGGGGUGACCACGGAGUAAAACCAAACCUCCAUGACGAACGGAUAAAUCAUCCUAAUCCAUGAGCUACCGCUCUAAGAAUCAAAAAAUUGACAUAUAUGAUCCGGUAACCGAUCAACGAACCAAGUUACCCUGGGGAUAACAGCGCAAUCCAUUUCAAGAGCCCCUAUCGACAAAUGGG